rnacentral:lncRNA from 1 species
AGUGUCAUAAUUAAAAAUGUGUGUCCACUUCUGCAGAUUCUCAUGUGGUGUGCUGAUAAUUCUGGGAAAUACUCGGUACUAAGUCGGUAUAAACUGAUGAAAAAGUGAAAUUUAGUUUUGUGUAUUAUUCUUUAUAUCCAAAAGAUGAUCUCAUUCAAAAAGAUGCACUAAUACAUUAUAGGUAAUCAGUAUCAGAAAUGUUACCACUGUAAUCUUUGGGUACUAAAAUCAUGAGAAAAAAUCGAAUAUUAAACGAUAUAUUAGUGUAAUGGGCCAAUUUAACCCGGGCCCGUAUAAGCACAAAACCAAAAUAAAUAAAAAUACAUUAACAGUCCAAUAAAAGUCCAUUUAAUUAAUGUCCUAUUACAAGCCCAAAACAGUCCCUCUAGCCCAAAUCUAGUGGCCCAAUACCCAAUUAACCCAAGUGGCCCAAGGUUUGAAAACAGGGCAGAACCCUAGCAGCAAGGAACGCCGCAGCCCUAGCCUCCAGCACGCCUCCGUACGACCCCCUGUGCACCUCCGUACAGCCUUGACGCACCACCCGUACCCGAGCGCCAGCACACUCGCACCUGCAAGGAGACAAACAAGCAACAACAGCAAAGAAACACCAAAAAGAAAAAACAUUGUAUUUUUUGUUUUUUCGUUAAUUUUUCCUCUUUCCUUUCGGCUAUAAAGCCAGAGUUUGAGUCUUUGUAAAAGGUUACGUGGAGAGAGAAUACACGUACAAUACAGAUACACAUUUUCGCAUAUUGAAUACAAAAGAAACACCAAAAAGAAAAGGUGAUUUCUGUUCCUAAGUUUCUGGGUUUAUUACACUUUAUUCUUGUCCAUUCCCGUUGAUUUUCUUUCUUUUUAGUAUCUAAAUAAAAAGAAAAAGGAAACGAAACCUUACCUUGAAAAUAGGCCAUCGAUCCUCCCCUGCUUCGUCGAAAUCGAAGUUAAAGGGAGAGGAUUUUGAGGCCAAAGAACGACUUGCCGAGGCCAGAAGCACGAAACGCCUUCUCGAUGGCGGUUUGGGUGUUCGAAACGGGGCUUUAGGUUUCGGCCAGAUGAAGAGGGCAGCAAAGAAAGGAAGGAGGAGGCUAGGGUUUUGAAAUGGCUGAAUAGCCAAAUUUGGGGCUUUUUUUAAAGGUCUGAAUACGAUGCCGUUUCAAGCCAGUAACCAAUGGCAUUGAAACGGUGUCGUAUCUAUCCUCCGACCCGACCCGAUCCGGUGUACUACCCCGAUGACCCGCGUGUUUUUGCGGUGAGGGAUUAUUUACAAUAUUAGUCCCUCCCUUUCGC